UGCGCAGGCUUCAAAUCCGGAGCGUGGCCGGCA
rnacentral:tRNA from 14 species